rnacentral:rRNA from 1 species
ACCCGCUGAACUUAAGCAUAUCAAUAAGCGGAGGAAAAGAAACCAACAGGGAUUGCCUUAGUAACUGCGAGUGAAGCGGCAAAAGCUCAAAUUUGAAAUCUGGCGUCUUCGGCGUCCGAGUUGUAAUUUGGAGGGAUAUCUUCGGGGUUGGCGCCGUCCUAAGUUCCUUGGAACAGGACGUCAUAGAGGGUGAGAAUCCCGUGCCUGGAUGGCUGCCCAACUCCAUGUGAAGUGUCUCCGACGAGUCGAGUUGUUUGGGAAUGCAGCUCAAAAUGGGUGGUAAAUUUCAUCUAAAGCUAAAUAUUGGCGAGAGACCGAUAGCGCACAAGUAGAGUGAUCGAAAGAUGAAAAGCACUUUGAAAAGAGAGUUAAAAAGUACGUGAAAUUGUUGAAAGGGAAGCGCUUGCGACCAGACUCGAUCUUUGGUGAUCAGCCGGGCUUCGGUUCGGUGCCCUCACCAUUGAUUGGGCCAGCAUCGGUUCUGACGGCGGGAUAAAAGGAGGAGGAAUGUGGCUCCCUUCGGGGAGUGUUAUAGCCUCCUUCACAAUGCCGCCAGUUGGGACCGAGGACCGCGCUUCGGCUAGGAUGCUGGCGUAAUGGUCUUAAGCGACCCGUCUUGAAACACGGACCAAGGAGUCUAACAUCUAUGCGAGUGUUCGGGUGGAAAACCCUUGCGCGUAAUGAAAGUGAACGGAGGUGUGAACCCUUUACGGGGUGCAACAUCGACCGGUCCUGAUGUCUUCGGAAGGAUCUGAGUAAGAGCAUAGCUGUUGGGACCCGAAAGAUGGUGAACUAUGCCUGAAUAGGGUGAAGCCAGAGGAAACUCUGGUGGAGGCUCGCAGCGGUUCUGACGUGCAAAUCGAUCGUCAAAUUUGGGUAUAGGGGCGAAAGACUAAUUCGAACC